AACCAUUACAAAAAGUUUCCCUACAACAAGAUCACAAAGACAGAAAUUAAAAUGUAUUCAGUGGAACUCACAGUUUAAAAUUCUGUGUUUCUGAUGAACUCUAACAUUCCAAUGUUGCCUUCUAAGCAAACUGAAAGCUGCCUUAUACAGAAUGAGGAAGAGCACAAAUACUCGGCUGAAUGAGGUAUCGCAAAAGACUGCAUGCACUUUGGAGAAAGACUUGAGUUAUUGUCAUACAAUUUCCAUUCUUUUUAGCUUUUUCUUAAAUAUAUGACAAAUACCUAUACAAAGAGUGGUAUUUCAGUCAAUAUAGUAAAUUUAUUUUCCAGACUGACCUUCAGCUUAAAUAUGCCAGUGUGUGAUUUAAUCCAUAGG
rnacentral:lncRNA from 10 species